GGAAUGAUGUAUACUCUUCUUUAAUCUAAUUAACCUUAUAUCAAAUUAUAGUUAAAUUAUUAUAAGGCACUAACACUUUUUUUGGCAGGCACAUAUGGGAGAGCAUCAACGGUCUGAGAAAAAUUUUCAAGUUUUACGACCCAGAGCUUCUCACAGUGCAUGGGAUCAACGAUGAAGAACAGAGUCAGUCUUUUGACGAUGCGGCAAGACGAUUGGCUAAUUGGUUAUCAUUAAUGAACAACAACCACCAAAUGUUCUUUAUUCCUUGGAAUAUCGGGAUGCAUUGGACGCUAGUGGUGGUUGCGCCAAGGAAAAUUAUCCAUUUAAACCCUGUAAAAGGCUGCCCAAUUCCCAAAGUAAUAGAACAAAUGAUCGGAAGGUAAUAAUUUAAUGACUUCUUAUGUAACGACUUUAAAUUAACUAACGAAUUGAAAUGCUAAUAUAAUUUUCCCAAACAGGGCAUUCAUGUAUAUAGGGAACGCACAUGAGUAUCUUGGCCAGUGGCAAGGAAUUAACCAAGCAAACUGUCCAAGACAACCUAAAAGCCAAGAAUGCGGAUUUUAUGUUUUGAAAUAUAUCACUGACAUCGUCGCACGUGCCAACCCCAGCCGUUACAUACAAGAUCAAAAAGCUUUUGGGGGUAAGAAGCAAUACGAUCCAAAAACAGAAUUGUUACCACUACAGCGAAAGUGGAUCGAACAAUUGAUGGCGGUGAUUCACGGUGACGAUUGAGGUUGAAAGGUCGAAGAAUUUUUCUUCAUUAUGUAAUUUUUAUAGAUUAACUUGUAGUUAGAUUUAUUAACUUUAAUAUUUUUAACUAAUUUUACAUUAGUGUUUGUGUAAUAUUUAAUUACUUUUAUGAAAUUAAAUUAUGUAUUUUACCCAAAUUUAAAUAAUAUUUGAUUCACAUUUUAAAAAAUAAAUAUGUAAUUUAUAUUAAAUAAAAUAAUAUAUAAAAUUAUUAAAUAUAUAAAUAAAAUGAAAUUAAAAUUAUAUAAUUAAAUAAAAAAAAAUUUGAAAAAACUGAAAAUCGCUUGCUUUUGGCGU